GACGAACGCUGGCGGCGUGCUUAACACAUGCAAGUCGAACGGAAAGGCCUGCUUUCCCUUGUGGAUUGCGGGUACUCGAGUGGCGAACGGGUGAGUAACACGUGAGUGAUCUGCCCCCAACUUGGGUAUAAGCCUGGGAAACUGGGUCUAAUUCCCGAUAGGACUGCAGGGUGGUGCCUGUGGUGGAAAACGAUUUUCUAGUGGUUGGGGAUGAGCUCGCGGCCUAUCAGCUUGUUGGUGGGGUAAUGGCCUACCAAGGCGGCGACGGGUAGCCGGCCUGAGAGGGUGGACGGCCACAUUGGGACUGAGAGACGGCCCAGACUCCUACGGGAGGCAGCAGUGGGGAAUAUUACACAAUGGGCGGAAGCCUGAUGCAGCGACGCCGCGUGGGGGAUGACGGCCUUCGGGUUGUAAACUCCUUUCGACCGCGAGGAAGCCACCUGGUUGGAAGGGUGGUGACGGUAGUGGUAGAAGAAGCACCGGCUAACUACGUG
rnacentral:rRNA from 1 species